rnacentral:misc_RNA from 1 species
GGUGAGUUAGAAGAGGCCUUACAGAAGUUUAAACUUCUUGUCCAAGAGAACCCAAGAGACUUCAGGCCUUAUCUGUGCCAGGGAAUAGUCUACAGUUUGUUGGACAAGAAGAAAGAAGCCGAUGAACAGUUUGAGAUAUAUCGAAGUCUUGUACCCAAAGAAUUUCCCCAGAGAGGUUUCCUUGAUGAUGUGGUGUUGGCUGCAAAGACAGAAACUAGGGAACAACUUGAGAAGGAGUUCAAGAAUGAAUUCUCUUACAAGACAUGAAAAAGCCAUGCUCAAUUAUCACAUUUUCAACUAAGGCUUAUCAUUACUGGAUGGUUAAGGGUAUAUGAGGGGGUUAGGAUAGAAUUAAGAACACUGCUAAUGUAGAGAUACAAUAUAGUUGAAAUCUGAAGUUUAGUCUCCCUUGGAAGAGGAGUGAAGUUGUAGGAAAGUACAUUUUUGUGUUAUCUGUUAUGUUUGAUAUUUCUUGUCUUUUUGGUAAUCGAGAAAUCCCCG